GAUGAACGCUGGCGGCGUGCCUAAUACAUGCAAGUCGAGCGAACAGACGAGGAGCUUGCUCCUUCGACGUUAGCGGCGGACGGGUGAGUAACACGUAGGUAACCUACCUAUAAGACUGGGAUAACUUCGGGAAACCGGAGCUAGUACCGGAUAAUAUUUCGAACCGCAUGGUUCGAUAGUGAAAGAUGGCUUUGCUAUCACUUAUAGAUGGACCUGCGCCGUAUUAGCUAGUUGGUAAGGUAACGGCUUACCAAGGCAACGAUACGUAGCCGACCUGAGAGGGUGAUCGGCCACACUGGAACUGAGACACGGUCCAGACUCCUACGGGAGGCAGCAGUAGGGAAUCGUCCGCAAUGGGCGAAAGCCUGACGGAGCAACGCCGCGUGAGUGAUGAAGGUCUUCGGAUCGUAAAACGCUGUUAUUAGGGAAGAACAAACGUGUAAGUAACUGUGCACGUCUUGACGGUACCUAAUCAGAAAGCCACGGCUAACUACGUG
rnacentral:rRNA from 1 species